rnacentral:rRNA from 1 species
UACGAGUGCUUCGAGCGUUAUCCGGAAUCAUUGGGCGUAAAGAGUUCGUAGGCGGCGCGGAAAGUCGGGUGUGAAAGCCCUCGGCUCAACCGAGGAAUUGCGCCCUAAACUGCCGUGCUUGAGGAACCUAGAGGUGAGCAGAACAGAUGGUGGAGCGGUGAAAUGCGUUGAUAUCAUCUGGAAUACCGGAGGCGAAGGCGGCUCACUGGGGGUUUUCUGACGCUGAGGAACGAAAGCCAGGGGAGCGAACGGG